UACGUAGGCAGCAAGCGUUGUUCGGAGUUACUGGGCGUAAAGUGUGCGCAGGCGGCCGCGCAAGUCGAGUGUGAAAUCCCCGAGCUUAACUUGGGAAUUGCGCUCGAAACUACGUGGCUGGAGUGUGGCAGAGGAAGGUGGAAUUCCACGUGUAGCGGUGAAAUGCGUAGAGAUGUGGAGGAACACCGAUGGCGAAGGCAGCCUCCUGGGCCAGCACUGACGCUCAUGCACGAAAGCGUGGGGAGCAAACAGG
rnacentral:rRNA from 1 species